CCUAAUUUGUAACGAUCGUCAGACGGUCCAAGUUCUGAUUGCCUUUUCGCCGACGUAACCGCAGCAACAAUGAGAAUCUGUUUUCAAAGCUUCUUGAUUACUAACCAAUUCGAAACGCAGCUAAUUAACUCGUCACCUCCUCCCUCUUGGGCCUAUAAAAACCGAUACCUCCUCUUUCUUUGUCGUUCAGAAUCAUCAAAGUUUUCACAUUCCCUCAAAUUCAUCAAAACUUUCCUGAAAUUUGCCAUGGCAAACCGAUCGCCGGAAACCACCGCUAAUGGCCAAUCGUCUGAAACCACUGUACUGUCGUUGAGGGUUCAUCGCUCCUAACCGCCUAGAGAGUAAAGAGUUAUGCAAGUCGCCUUAAACGUGGUGGUCUUCAAUCGUCGGGAAGGGAUCUUUAGUGAAAGCUUUGUAAUAGCCUUUCGUCUCAGUUUACUAUAGUUUUCUGACUGUCAUUUGUGCUUUGAUCUUCCAUGUUUGGUACGACACUGAACGCCUUGCUCCUGCUACGUACAAAGCAUCACUUGACAUAUGUUUAGUUUUCUUUGAAAAGUGUUCUUGGGAGUUGUCUGUGAUCUUUUUAUGUUCGAUCUUUUAUAUAUUGUGAGUUUGUUAGGAACGAGGAAGAACAAGCGGUUGAGAGAAUUGAGGGAAAUGGAGGAGUUCGAGCUCCAUCACUGUGUUUAGGUUGUUGGAGGUUUAAAAGAUGGAGAUGAAGCUUCACUGGAGAGGAUUCACCAUCUGGGACCAACUGAAAAUGGGCAAAUUGAUUUCAAGGAGAUGUAAUCUGUGACACAACUUCAGGGUCUGCAUAGCGCAAGAACGACGUCCGAGCAAGCGCGGCUUCAUCUGGUCAUCACUUUGUCUUCUAAUGCUAUGAGAAUUACUUUAUUUUGCAUCAAUCUGUCAGUCAACGCCAUUACAUGUAGCGUAACAUGUAAAAGUUUUGUUAUCUAGAAAAGUUACUUUGUUUA